GUGGUGGCUCAGUGGCAGAGUGCUUGCCUAGCACAUGUGAGGCACUGGGUUCAAUCCUCAGCACCACA
rnacentral:tRNA from 1 species